UUUCAAAUGAGAAGGAAGGUGAUGGUAACUCAACCGCAAUGCAGGAAAAAUGUCAGUUUCUUCUUUCCAAAUGUCACUCCUCAAUACUUUCUCCCACACAUUAUGAUUUCUUUCACCUCGUAGAACCCCUCCAAUAGCUUGCGCUGCCAAAGGCAACCCUUGACAUCUUCUGGCAAUUUUUUCACCUAUUGCCUUCAGAUCCAAGUGCUCGUCAAAAUUUGUUGCUCCCAAAGCAUGUUGGGCUAAGAUAGACAGACAACCAUCAUAUGACAACUGCUUAAGAGUAUAAGAAUGAGAAUGAACACAACCCAUCAUUCGCGAAACACGUUCACUACGAGUUGUGACAACUAUUCUACUUCCUUUUGCCCCAUGUUGAAAAGGACCAUGAAAGAGAGUCCAAUCCCCAUACUUCUCAUUCCAAACGUCAUCUAGGACAAUAAAAAAUUUCUUCUCAAGCAGCCUUUCCUUCAAAUUUUCUUGAAGAAAAUUCAAAUCUUCGCCAUCAUAAUGUCCACCAAACCACAGGAAAAUUGUUCGGGUAAUUCUGAAAACGUCAAAAUCAUCACCAACUAAGACCCAAGCCGCUAAAUCAAAGUUCAUUUUGGCUUCAUUAAAGACAAGCUGAGCUAGAGUUGUCUUGCCAAGGCCUCCCAUACCAAUUAUGGAAAUAACGGAGACACCUGCCUCACUUGAUUUAGCAUUCAAAAAUUCAAGUAUCGCCUU
rnacentral:misc_RNA from 1 species